rnacentral:rRNA from 1 species
UACGUAGGUGGCAAGCGUUGUUCGGAAUUAUUGGGCGUAAAGGGCGCGUAGGCGGCGCGUUAAGUCGGCUGUGAAAGCCCGGGGCUCAACCCCGGAGGGUCAGCCGAUACUGACGUGCUAGAGUACGGAAGAGGAAGCUGGAAUUCCCGGUGUAGCGGUGAAAUGCGUAGAUAUCGGGAGGAAGACCUGAGGCGAAGGCGGGCUACUGGGCCGAUACUGACGCUGAUGUGCGAAAGCCAGGGGAGCGAACGGG